rnacentral:lncRNA from 1 species
AAGGAGCCCUGUAGGGUCAAGAUAGUAUGACUUGUUAUUCUUCUGAUCAUGAAAGUUGAGAGUCUGGGUUCUCAAAUGGGUAAGAUGGAAGGAUCUUUCACAAUCUUUCACAGAAUGGCCAGUGAGUGCUGCUAAAAUGACAGAUUAGAUUGAUGUCUUGAUGGAGAGGAAAGAAUUUAGCUGAGAUGGCUGUUCAGGGUUCUCAGAGGGAAAAUUUAUUUCUUCACACUGAUGAAAAAGUAGUUUGUACUUGCUUUCCUUUGUAAUAAGAUUGGAUACAGAACCUUAACAAAAAGUUAAUUCCAUCCUGGUCUGUUAUAUUCAAUACUUUCAUACAUUAUAGUGAUAUACCAUCUAAAAAUAAUGUCUUAAAAAAAGUAUAUAAAUUUACAUCUUCAAUCUAAGUGAUUAGCAUUUUUAUUUUAAAUAUAACUUUUUAAACCUGUGGAAUGGAGACAAAAAGAAUGUUUUAUUUUUAAUAGUAUUGCAAAGAUUAAUGUGACUAUGACUUUAAUAUAAAGCCUUUGCCAUGUGGUAUGAUGUAAAACGUUAAUAGGUAAUUAUUUCUUGAAGAUCUACUACAUGGCAUCACGUGCUGAAAUACAGUGUACCAGAUAGUAAAUCUGUUCUUCCAGAGAUUAUAUGUUAGUGGUAAAAGCCAGACAAAAAUACAAGUAAAAUAUAUAUGAUUCAAAAAAUAAGUAAGGAAGAAUAAUGUGGAUCAGUUAAAACUGAAGCAGCAGAAAACCACAGUUUUAUUUGCCUUGGGUCAGAAGACAGGUUGUGGAUCUCCAGAGUGUUGGAAAGGAUAGAGCAAUGGUGAAUGAUAUCAAAAUCUACCUAUAAAAUUCUGUGAAAUUCCUUCAAACCCAUGGCUCACCUUUUUUCUGCAUAUGUGCUAUGUUCCAAGUUGCCCAAGUAGAUAACAAUAACUGAAAGGCCAAAAGAACUGAUAAGAGAUUUAAAAUGCAGAGGUAAGAGAAUUUGGAGCUCAAGUCCAGCCAAACCAAAAGAGCUUGGUAAAUAUUCAGAUUUUCCACACAAAGUAAAGAUCAUAGAGUAAAGAUUAUGUCUAGGACUAAGUGAUUUCCUUGGGUUAGAAGCCAAAUCAACAUAGUCCCACUCAUAAAAUCAAACCUCAACAAUUUUAAAAUAAUCUGCAAGUCAUUUAACUCUUUGGUAGAAAAGAACUCAACAAUUUCAAGGGAAAAUAAAAUCAUAAUGAUACUCACAUAUUUACAAUGUCUAGCAUACAUCAGGGAUUAUUAGGCACUUGAAAAAACAGGAAAAUGUGAGAGGAAACUAAAAACAGAAUAGCAUAUGACCCAGAUUUUAGAAUUUUGUAGUACAGACUAUUAGUAGUAUGUUAAAGACUUUAGAGAGAAAGACUGUUAUAAUAGUUGAAGACAUGAAAGAAUGUUAGGAGAGAUUUGUAAAAAGAACCAAAUAGAAACUUAAGAACAAAAAAAUACAAUAUAUGAAAUCAAAUAUUUAUUGGAUGGGAUCAAACACACUCUAUGUAACCACAGAAGAAAGGAUCAUUAAACUUGUAGACAGUACAAUGUAUAUGCCAUCAAAAUUAAAACGCAGAAUAAAAUGGAAAAAAAUUGCAAGAUUCAAUGAUGUUUAGGAGCAUAUGAAGCUAUCAUUAUUGGAUACUAUUGGAGUCUGAGAAAGAUGAAGUAUGAAACAAAGAAACUUUAAAGAAACAUUGGCUAAAGUGUUUAUAAAUUUAAUUUUUAAACAACUCACAAAUCAAUUUCAGUGAAUAUUGAAUGCUAAAAAUGCAAUGAAAAUGAAGUCUAGACACAUAGUCUAACUGCUGAAAAUUAAAGAUAAAGAGGAAAUCUUAAAAGCAGCCAGGAUGAAAGUGAGAAGAAAGUAUAUGAUUUUUCAACAGAAACAAUGGAGGUGAGAAGGUAACAGAAUGUUAUUUUUAAAGUAAUGAAAGAUUUUAAAAAAUUCAUCAACCGAGAAUUCUAUAUUAUGGAAAAACUAUUUUCCAAUAAAAGAAGGCAGUAAAUUCUGAGUAAAAUUAUUGCCAGCAGACUUGCACUAUCAACAUCUUAAUGGGAGUUUUUCUAGCUGAAGAGAAAUGAUGGUAGGAUAUACAUUAAAGAACAAACACUGGAGAUAUUAAACAUAUAGAUAAAUGUAAAAUGUUACUUUUUUUUUCAUCCUUUAAAAAAGAUGAUUGAUAUAUUCAGGGCAAUGAAGUUUGACCCCUAUCUUACUCCACUCACAAAAAAUUAACUAGAAAUAAAUUAAAGGGUUAAAACAAGAGCUGAUAGUAUAACACUCCUAGAAAAAAGUGUCAGGAGAAAGCUCCUUGACAUUGAUUUUGGCAAUGUUUUUGGAUAUGAUACCAAAAGCACAAACAACAAACGUAAAAAUAAAAAAUAAAAAAAUGGCAGUAUAUCAAACUUAAAAACUUUUGCAUAGCAACAGAAAUUUUUAAAAAAUGAAGAGGCAACCUACCUAAUGGGAAAACAUUUGCAAAAUAUAUACAAGGGAUUAAUAUCCAAAAUAUAUUAAGAACUCAUACAACUCAACAGCAAAAAGGGAAAAAUCCAAUUAAAAAUGGGCAGAAAAACUAAAACAUUUUCCCAAAGAAUACAGACAAACAGCUAACAGAUACAAGAAUAGAUGCUCAACAUCACUAAUCAUUAGGAAGACGCAAAUUAAAACCACAAGGAGCUGUCACCUCAAACCUGUUAGAAUGGCUGUCAUUAAGACAAGAGAUAACAAGUGCUGGUGAGAAUGUAGAGAAAAGGGAAUGCUUGUUCCCAGUUAGUGGGGAUAUAAAUUGGUACAUCCACUAUGGAAAACAGUACGGAGAUUUCUUAAAAUGUUAAAAAUAGAGCUACCAUGUGAUCCAGCAAUUCCACUGCUGGCUAUAUAUCCAGAGAAAAUGAAAACACACUAACUCAAAAAGAUAUAUGAAUUCCCAUGUUCAUUGCAGCAUUAUUUACAAUAGCCAAGAUAUGAAAACAUAAGUGCUUAUUUGUAGAUGAAUGGGUAAAGAAAAUGUGGUCCAGAAAUACAAUGGAGUAUUAUUCAGCCAUCAGAAAGGAGGGCAUCCUGCCAUUUCCAACAACGUAUAUAGACUUUGAGCACAUUAUGCUAAAUGUUGCAUAAGGGUAUAAACUUAUGAUUAGUAAGUAAUCCCCAGAGAUCUGAUGCACAGUACAGUAAAUAUAGACAAUGAUAUUGUAUUAAGAUCAUCAAACCAGCUGUUACCAGAAUUUAAUUUUUCCAACUACUAAAAAGAACAGAUAAUUAUGUAAUGAGUGAUAAUUUUCCCUAUGAUGACAAUUGUAUUAGUGUAUAAGUGCAUCAAAUUAACAUGCUGUAUACCUUAAAUGUAUACAAUAUUAUCUGUCGUAUUUCAGUAAAGAGGCCAUUUUUAGAUUCACAUGUAAUAAUACUGUGGAGUUAAUAGCAUGUGGAAAAUUAGUAUUGUCAACAACAUACAAAGAAUGGGAAUGUUUUAAAUAAGACUACAGAUUUUAUAUGUGAAAUUAUAUGUGAAAUGUUAGUAAUUCAUGUUAGAAUGUGGUAAGUUAAAAAUGCAUAUUGUAAUCCUUGAAAAAUAUAAAACGGUAUAGCUAAAAAGAUAAUAUAAGAUACAGAAUAGAAAGUGAAAAUAUAAAAACAAAUUUAAGUAUUAAAAUUAUCCUGAAUAUAUAUGUUCUCUGAACACACUAUAACUCAAUUUUGAAUUAAUAAUUAUAUCUGGAGAAUUAAUCUUUAGAAAUUAAACACUAUACUUCCAAAAAGCCCAUGAGUCAGAAAAAAAAUCACAAGGUAAACUAGAAAAUAUUUCAGAGAUCAGAAAAUCAACAAUUUCCUAGUGUAUAGCACAGAUACUCAAUGUCCUAUGAUAACCCAUAAGGGAAAAGAAUAUAAAAAAGAAUGUGUGUGUGUAUAUAUAGAAAUUAACACAACAUUGUAAGUCACCUGUACUUCAAUGAAAAAGGAAAUAUUUUAAACUUCCUAUUGAUAAAAUCACAGAAUAUUAAAAUUUAUGGGAAGCAGCUAAAGCUGUAAUUAAAGGAAAUUUUAUAGCUUUUAAAGGAGACAAAAUCAAUAGGUUUCAUUACAAUUUUUUCCAAAAAGAAAAACAGAAAAAAGGAGAUAAUCUAGAUAGGAAUGAUAAUCAAUGAAAGAGAAAACUUCAAAAAAAUAAUAGAGAAAAUUAACAAAGCCAAAUGUUGGCUGGAAAGAUUAAUGAAAAUUAUUUAUAAAAUAUAUAAACCUGUGUAAAAGUGAAUCAAGACAGGAAAUAAAAGAAAAAAUCUUGCCUUUAUUACAAAUGAUAGAGGAAACAUAGCAAAGUUCCUACAUUUGUUGAAAAGUUAAAAGAUUAUUAUGCUGAUAAAUUUGAUAUCCUUUUGAUAAAAGGAUAAAAGUCCUUGAAAAGCAGUUUACCAGUUCUAACAAACAUUAUACUUAGUGAAAGAAGGCUAAUAUGAAAGAACACAUCUCUCUGAUUCCAUUCCUAUCAAGGUGGUAGCACUGGCUGACUGAAGUAUACUGAGGGAAAUAAGAACCAUAGUUUCCUCUGGUGGUGGGCCAAAAAUUGUAAACUAUGCACAAAAUCUGUCCUAUUUUACCUUAUAUGUAUUAAAACUCAAUUGAAAGUAUAAGUAGACAUGAUAUUUCAUAUAGUGAUAAAUAUUAGAAAAUUCAAGAAGGCAGUCUGAUACAGGUUGACUAUAAGAGCAAGAAGAAUUGGAUUUGGGUUGGGUGGGUGUCAGUAAAGACUUCCCUGGGAAGGUAGCAUUUAAACUGAGACCUAAAACGAAAUGAGUCACAGGAAGAUUUGGUGAUUGUGCUUUCUAGAUAUAAGGCUCAGCUUGAGCAAAGGCCCCAAAGUAGUAAAAAGCCUGUUAUUAUUUGGGCACCAGAGAAAAAUCAGUGGGAUUAGAACGUCUUGAGCCUGUGGGUGGUGGGAGCUGAAGUUAGGAGAGGCAGGGACCAGUUAGAAAUUUGGGAAAAAAAAGUUAAGAAUAUGAAUUUAAAAUGCUGUUUUAAAUCUACAGAAGGACCUCAGUACUUAGUUCUAUUAAUCAUCGGCAGUCUAUUUUUUACAUAUCUAAAUGUUGCUAAGGUUUCACUCUAUUUUUACCUAGUACAAUUAAAAUUAGCAAAUCAACUCUUGGAAACAAUAUAAGGAGAUACUUUGUAAACUUUUCUAGUUGGCUGUAAUGGCAAAAUAUAGAGGAAAACAUGGAGAAGACAAGGAAAGGAUGGACGUGGCAGAAAGAUGGGACCUGAGAAGAACUGGGUGGGAAGAAAAGCAUUACAGAAUCUUUUACAAGUGGGAUGUGUGUAUGUGUGAGAAAGAAUUGGCAAGGGGAAAAAAUGAAGCACUUUUGAGCAUUUGACGUCUCACAUACCCCUUCUCCAAUUUUUAAAACAAAAACAAAACAUUUCAUGUAGAAUUUGAAUAUCACAAAGUCUUUAACCAUGAAAGCAAACCACAUUCUGUUGCCUUCCAGCUCUGAGUAUUUCUUUGGAUGUGACCUAAUGGAAUUGCAAAGUAAAAUCUGUUUUACAUCCAUCAAGAAGUGUUUUGGAACAGUAAUGCCUAAAAAAAAAAAAAAAAAAAAAAAAA